CCCUUAGAUGUUCUGGGCUGCACGCGCGCUACACUGACAUGUCCAGCGAGCUCCCAACCUGCUCGGCAAAGAAUGGGUACCCUUUUUAACGCAUGUCGUGAUGGGGAUAGAUUAUUGCAAUUGUUGAUCUUGAACGAGGAAUUCCUAGUAAGUGCAAGUCAUUAGCUUGUGCUGAAUACGUCCCUGCCCUUUGUACACACCGCCCGUCGCUCCUACCGAUUGAGUGGUCCGGUGAGGCUUUGGGAUCUGAGCGGAAAGAGCGUUUCGCUGUUUCUGCUCGGAAAACUCAGUCGAACCUUAUCAUUUAGAGGAAGGAGAAGUCGUAACA
rnacentral:rRNA from 1 species